AGGAAAGGGAGGGAUUCGAACCCU
rnacentral:tRNA from 25 species